rnacentral:rRNA from 1 species
GACGAACGCUGGCGGCGUGCCUAACACAUGCAAGUCGAACGGAGAUAUGAUUUCGGUUGUAUCUUAGUGGCGAACGGGUGAGUAACGCGUGAGCAACCUGACUCUUAGAGGGGGAUAACAUUCGGAAACGGGUGCUAAUACCGCAUAAGACCACGACAUGGCAUCAUGACGAGGUCAAAGGAGCAAUCCGCUGAGAGAGGGGCUCGCGUCCCAUUAGAUAGAUGGCGGGGUAACGGCCCACCAUGUCAACGAUGGGUAGCCGAGCUGAGAGGCUGAUCGGCCACACUGGAACUGAGACACGGUCCAGACUCCUACGGGAGGCAGCAGUGGGGAAUAUUGGGCAAUGGGCGCAAGCCUGACCCAGCAACGCCGCGUGAGGGAAGAAGGCUUUCGGGUUGUAAACCUCUGUCCUUGGUGACGAAAAAAAUGACGGUAGCCAAGGAGGAAGCCCCGGCUAACUACGUGCCAGCAGCCGCAGUAAAAC